rnacentral:rRNA from 1 species
GAUGAACGCUAGCUACAGGCUUAACACAUGCAAGUCGAGGGACCGGCGACAGGGUGAGUAACACGUAUCCAACCUGCCCUUUACCCGGGGAUAGCCUUUCGAAAGAACGAUUAAUACCCGAUGUAAAGGAUGGGGAUGCGUUCCGUUAGGUUGUGGGUGAGGUAACGGCUCACCAAACCUUCGCUGGAUAGGGGUUCUGAGAGGAAGGUCCCCCACAUUGGAACUGAGACACGGUCCAAACGCCUACGGGAGGCAGCAGUGAGGAAUAUUGGGCAAUGGGCGUUAGCCUGAACCAGCCAAGUAGCGUGAAGGAUGAAGGCUUAUGGGUCGUAAACUUCUUUUAUAUAAGAAUAUGUAUUAUAUGAAUAAGGAUCGGCUAACUCCGUGCCAGCCGCCGCGGUAAUAC